rnacentral:rRNA from 1 species
GCAGAGGGAAUUUCCGGUGGAGCGGUGAAAUGCAUUGAGAUCGGAAAGAACACCAACGGUGAAAGCACUCUGCGGGGUCGACACUGACACUAAGAGACGAAAGCUAGGGGAGCAAAUGGGAUUAGAGACCCCAGUAGUCCUAGCCGCAAACGAUGGAUACUAGGUGCUGUGCGACUCGACCCAUGCAGUGCUGUAGCUAACGCGUUAAGUAUCCCGCCUGGGGAGUACGUUCGCAAGAAUGAAACUCAAAGGAAUUGACGGGAGCCCGCACAAGCGAUGGAGCAUGUGGUUUUAUUCGAUGAAAAGCGAAGAACCUUACCAGGGCUUGACAUGCCACAAAUCCUCUUGAAAGAGAGAGGUGCCCUCGGGAACGCGGACAUAGGUGGUGCAUGGCUGUCGUCAGCUCGUGCCGUAAGGUGUUGGGUUAAGUCUCGCAACGAGCGCAACCCUCGUGUUUAGUUGCCACUAUGAGUUUGGAACCCUGAACAGACCGCCAGUGUUAAGCCAGAGGAAGGAGAGGAUGAGGCCAAGUCAUCAUGCCCCUUAUGCCCUGGGCGCACACGUGCUACAAUGGGCGGGACAAAGGGUCACAAUCUCGCGAGGGUGAGCUAACUCCAAAAACCCGUCCUCAGUUUGGAUUGCAGGCGGCAACUCGCCUGCAUGAAGCAGGAAUCGCUAGUAAUCGCUGGUCAGCCAUACGGCGGUGAAUCCGUUCUCGGGCCUUGUACACACUGCUCGUCACACUAUAGGAGCUGGCCAUGUUUGAAGUCAUUACCCUUAAUUGUAAGGAGGGGGAUGCCUAAGGCUAGGCUUGCGACUGGAGUAAAGUCGUAACAAGGUAGCCGUACUGGAAGGUGGGCUG